CACAUCCCAGCCGGUGCCAAAAGCCAAGCGCAUCACGCGCGCUCGCGAGGCCCCAACCCGCCCCCUCAAACCAGAGCAGAGAAAGAGGGAGCCUCAUCAUGAAUAGCGCUGGCGGCAAGCCUUCCCUUUAUCUGGCUUUCAUUAGAGCCCGGGCGCGCCUCUUUUGUGGGAGAGACUUGAGGGAGCCGAGGCAGUUUCCCAGCCGCUGUGAUGUUGCUAAAGAUUAAAAAGGAGCUUUGAAGCUGUACCAGCUCUCUCUGCGCCCCCUCGGUCCGGGACCUCAGAAAGAACCACGCCAUCUGGCAAACCUGACAAAAAGACAAAAUCAAGUGAUUGAAACACUCUCUUCAAAGGCACAACGGCAGAUUUGUUGAUUUGGGCGUUAUCUUUCAUGCGAGGCCCUCAGAAGUCACCAGAACACCUAGACCUGGACGAGUUCCGGGAGAGCCCAGCUGCGCUCCAUCAGUCACAGCGAAAUAAAGAACUCGCAGCGUCCGAGCUAUGAUCAGCCACCAAAAAGCUCCCAAAGACCUCCGUGCUCCCACCCAGCGCCAUGUCCUGCCUGCCUGUCCUCAAACCCCAGGCCAAG